UACCGUGGUAAAUGAUGAGAAACUCAAAAGGAAGGGGCCUGUCCCCACCCCGGUGCUGCACAGAGUGCUUCUCCUUCGUCCAGCUCCAGGAACUAAGGGCCUAAUUAUUUCCACUUAGUAAUUCAACUCCCAUUUCCUUGGCUCAGAUUCCCUUUGUUGCGGUCAGUGGGGGCCACGCCUCUUGCAAAAAGUGCAGUUGUGAAACACAACCCUCGCCGCCCCCCUCCCCCCCAUCUCUGGCAUUGAGAAUGACUGUCACGAAGACCAGCCCCGUUAGCGGCCGGAGCUCGCAUCCUUUCCUCUCCGGAGCCUGGCAAGAGUACCCACUCCGCCUGGAAGGGGCCGUUGCUCCAGAGGCGCCAGUCGCUGCGCGCGGGCGUCAAGGCAGGCCUGUGGGACUUCAUUGGCACACCCCCUGCCCUGUGUUUCCAAAGGGAGAAACCCUGAGAACCAGGCGGCUUCUGCUGUGGCCCAGAUGAGGGCAACGCUCGAGCACACCGCAGAGCAGUAUCCUUGUCACCAGAUGGUGAUGGAUGAGGAAGACGUGGUCCCCAUGUUUGGAGCACACUGUCCCACUGGGGACAGGCAGACAGGAACAGAAGAUUGCAGUGUAACGCGGUGGAUGCGGCCAGGGAGUCUUCCACACUGUGUCUGGCGCCAUAAAAACUUUGCAGAGGGAUGCGUGAAAGGAGAGAUGGAUGGAUGGAUGUGGGGAAGUGACCUGAGAUCAUCCUGUCCCACCGGAUGUGCCCAAGGGGAUGCCACUUGGCAGAGCUGGCCUGAGAAACUGCAGUGCUGGGCUUCAGGUCCUGUGGCUUUGCUGGAGGAGGUCAUCGAGAGGACAUGACAGCCGGUUGACCUUCAACCUGAACCAAGGCAACUGGAGGCCCCUGCCCCCCCCCCCUUGGAAUGUCUUUGAAUUGUCUGCUCUGCCCACCGUUCCACAGUGGCAGCUGCUUUUGAGGAUGCAGCCUUGAGAGAGUAUGAUGUAUGCGACUGAACCCGUUCAGGCCUCUCUGUCAACUUUUGGAGACUGUGCUGGGUGGAAGCAGAGGUCCACCCAUCUUGAAGCAGGAGACAAGCCUCUCUGGGAGCUCUCUACUUACACGGCCUGUCAUCUACCCGUCCGGAGUGGCUGCCUCUUUCUUCCUUCUUUCCUUACCCUCCAGGCACGAGGGCCAGUUUGAGAACCAACAGGCUUUGCCACUGUAGCUCAGCCUGACAUCUUUUAGCAAAAGACGGAACACAGCAAGUUUGUAUACAAUGCCAUCUCUGAAUAUGGCAAAUACCAACAGAAAGGGGUGAGUAUGUGGGUACUUUUCC
rnacentral:lncRNA from 9 species